rnacentral:rRNA from 1 species
AUUGAACGCUGGCGGCAUGCCUUACACAUGCAAGUCGAGCGAACAGACGAGGAGCUUGCUCCUCUGACGUUAGCGGUGGACGGGUGAGUAACACGUGGAUAACCUACCUAUAAGACUGGGAUAACUUCGGGAAACCGGAGCUAAUACCGGAUAACAUGUUGAACCGCAUGGUUCAACAGUGAAAGACGGUCUUGCUGUCACUUAUAGAUGGAUCCGCGCCGCAUUAGCUAGUUGGUAAGGUAACGGCUUACCAAGGCAACGAUGCGUAGCCGACCUGAGAGGGUGACCGGCCACACUGGAACUGAGACACGGUCCAGACUCCUACGGGAGGCAGCAGUAGGGAAUCUUCCGCAAUGAGCGAAAGCCUGACGGAGCAACGCCGCGUGAGUGAAGAAGGUCUUCGGAUCGUAAAACUCUGUUAUUAGGGAAGAACAAAUGUGUAAGUAACUAUGCACGUCUUGACGGUACCUAAUCAGAAGGCCACGGCUAACUACGUGCCAGCCGCCGCCGUAA